rnacentral:tRNA from 1 species
UGUAGCUCAGUGGUAGAGUACUUACCUAGCAUGUGUGAGGUCCUGGGUUCAAUCCCCAGUA